CGUCCGGUCGUAGGUUCGAGUCCGGUUAGAAUGCCUGCCUGUCACGCAGGAGGUCGCGGGUUCGAGUCCCGUCCGGACCGCCA
rnacentral:tRNA from 1 species